rnacentral:rRNA from 1 species
UACGGAAGGGGCAAGCGUUGUUCGGAUUCAUUGGGCGUAAAGGGUGCGUAGGUGGCGGGGCAAGUCUGGUGUGAAAUCCCGGGGCUCAACCCCGGAACUGCACUGGAUACUGCCUUGCUAGAGCACUGGAGAGGGAACUGGAAUUUACGGUGUAGCAGUGAAAUGCGUAGAUAUCGUAAGGAAGACCAGUGGCGGAGGCGAGUUCCUGGACAGUUGCUGACACUGAGGCACGAAGGCUAGGGGAGCAAACGGG